AAAUUUGGCGGUAUUUUAGUCUGUUCAGAGGAACCUGUUUUUUAAUCGAUAAUCCACGUUGUACCUUACUUAAAAUUAUCAAUUAGUUUGUAUACCAUCGUUAUAGAAAAUUUUAUAAGAAUAAUAAUUUUCAAUAAAUUUAAUAAAAUUAUAUAUCAGAUCAAGGUGCAGCGUAUGUUUAAGNNNNNNAUGGGUUACAAUAAAAUUAUUUAUAUGGAAAUAAAAAUGAAAAAUUUAUUGAAAGUGGAUUUGAAAGUAAAAUUAUAUAGAUUAAUAAUUUGAUUUUAGCUCUAAAAUAU
rnacentral:rRNA from 1 species